AUGUUGUAUGAGAGGAGAGAAGGUCAGCACUUCCCUUGACAAGGGUGGAAGAGGCUUCAGUGUACCAGGCAUACAGUUAAGGCAUUGUCACUAAUUUGUGGCAUAUAACUGCUGUUUUUU
ensembl:snRNA